CCUACGGGAGGCAGCAGUGGGGAAUAUUGGGCAAUGGGCGCAAGCCUGACCCAGCAACGCCGCGUGAAGGAAGAAGGCUUUCGGGUUGUAAACUUCUUUUCUCAGGGACGAAGAAAGUGACGGUACCUGAGGAAUAAGCCACGGCUAACUACGUGCCAGCAGCCGCGGUAAUACGUAGGGGGCAAGCGUUCUCCGGAUGUAUGGGGUGUAACGGGCGGGUAGGCGGGAGCGCAAGUCAGAUGUGAAAACUCAGGGCUCAACCCUGAGCCUGCCUUUGAAACUGUGUUGCUUGAGUGCUGGAGAGGCAGUCGGAAUUCCGUGUGUAGCGGUGAAAUGCGUAGAUAUACGGAGGAACACCAGUGGCGAAGGCGGCUUGCUGGACAGUAACUGACGCUGAGGCGCGAAAGCGUGGGGAGCAAACAGGAUUAGCUACCCCAGUAGUC
rnacentral:rRNA from 1 species